GCGCUCGUAGCUCAACUGGAUAGAGCGUUGGCCUCCGAAGCCAAAGGUUGUGGGUUCGACCCCCGCCGGGCGCA
rnacentral:tRNA from 1 species